rnacentral:rRNA from 1 species
UGCCCCAGUAACGGCGAGUGAAGCGGCAAAAGCUCAAAUUUGAAAUCCUGCGGGAAUUGUAAUUUGAAGGUUUCGUGGUCUGAGUCGGCCGCGCCCAAGUCCAUUGGAACAUGGCGCCUGGGAGGGUGAGAGCCCCGUAUGGCGCACGCCGACUCUUUGUACACCGCGGCUCCGACGAGUCGAGUUGUUUGGGAAUGCAGCUCUAAGUGGGUGGUAAAUUCCAUCUAAAGCUAAAUAUUGGCGAGAGACCGAUAGCGAACAAGUACAGUGAUGGAAAGAUGAAAAGCACUUUGAAAAGAGAGUGAAACAGCACGUGAAAUUGUUGAAAGGGAAGGGCUUGCAAGCAGACACGGUUUUACCGGGCCAGCGUCGAAAAGGGGGGAGGAACAAGAACUCGAGAAUGUGGCGCGCACCUUCGGGCGCGCGUGUUAUAGCUCGUGUUGACGCCUCCAUCCCUUUUCGAGGCCUGCGAUUCUAGGACGCUGGCGUAAUGGUUGCAAGCCGCCCGUCUUGAAACACGGAC